GACCUCGGAUCAGGCGUGAAUACCCGCUGAACUUAAGCAUAUCACUAAGCGGAGGGGGAG
rnacentral:rRNA from 1 species